GUAAGUUGAUGGUGGCUAUUAUGAAGGAAAACUAGAAAAAAAAUGAUUGAAGCAUUCUUGAGAUGAUGAACAUUACUUGUGAAAUAAUUGUUGAAGAGAGGGCUGAAAAUAAAGAGAAGAAAAUAAUGGGUGAUGAAGUGUAAAGUUGCAAAGUGCUUAAGAAAGUGUAAGUCACUAUUAUAUAGUUUUUCUACCCGUCC
rnacentral:lncRNA from 1 species